rnacentral:lncRNA from 1 species
CGCGCUCCCUGAAUUGUACAAGCAGUGUUUUCCCAGAUGGAUGAUUCACUCCUCAGCCCCAUUUCUCCUGUCAUCCUCUGAGCCUUUGAAACCACCGACGUGCUCAUCAGGACUGACUCAUCUCCAGGUCUCCCAGAGCCUGCUGGACCAAGGCACAUGGGCUGAUGGGGAGAGCACUCCCCUUCUUCACUACAAGACACAGACACAGGGGGAGCCCUUCAACCACUGUGACAACAGACAAAUGUUUACUUCAACAACGAGCACGCGACCACGUUAACUGUUAGGUCUGUUGCAGCUGAACGUAUUUGAUUUACCUUCAACUUCAGCGACAGAAGAAAAACAGUCAGAAUGACAUGUUCAUGUG